rnacentral:rRNA from 1 species
GUGUCAGCAGCCGCGGUAAGACGAACCGUGCGAACGUUGUUCGGAUUCACUGGGCUUAAAGGGCGCGUAGGCGGGGGGUCAAGUCUGAGGUGAAAUCUUUCGGCUCAACCGGAAAAGUGCCUUAGAUACUGACUCUCUCGAGGGGGGUAGGGGCAUGUGGAACUUCCGGUGGAGCGGUGAAAUGCGUAGAUAUCGGAAGGAACGCCGGUGGCGAAAGCGACGUGCUGGACCCCUUCUGACGCUGAGGCGCGAAAGCCAGGGGAGCAAACGGGAUUAGAUACCCCUGUAGUCC